GAGAGAUGGCUGAGUGGCCGAAGGCAACGGUUUGCUAAACCGUCGCAUUGCUUAUAAGCGGUGCCGAGGGUUCGAAUCCCUCUCUCUCC
rnacentral:tRNA from 1 species